AGUCUCACCAACGCUCCGUCGCUUACCUGGUCGAGUCGUUUACGAACGCUCCUUUACGGCCGUCGGUGCAAAGUCCAUCCCAAAGAACAAAGCCUCGUAACAGGGCGUGUUCUGAUCGUCUCCCAAGUCAUUUCGUGCCUGCGAACGCAACACCGACUACAUCAUGGUGCCCGUCCUCGCAUUUAUUUCGGUUUUAGGUAUAGCAAUACAUGAAUGUAGCGCUCAGGGGGCCGGCGCUUUCGAUCUCGGAGACCACAGAGAGGGACAGCUUUCUGGUCAAAUUUCUCCCUUGAACGUUUUCGCAAUCGUCUUGGGAUGCUUGGCUGCGCUCGGUGCCGUAUGCGUGACAGCGGUUUGUGCAUACCUGACGUGGGUCAGGUACAGAGACGCCGAGGAUGAGCAAUACUCAGCUCCCAACGGACACAAUCGGAAACCCUACAGAGUAAUUUAACCAUAAGUUCAGUCGCGUUCUGAAUUCUGCCGAGCUCGUCUCCUCCAGAACGACCGAAAUUGUAAACAACUACGUCAUUGUGAACUCAUCCGAACUGCCAUGCUCUUCUCAUCAUCUGAACAUGAUUAUGGUUCAAUGAAUAAAUGCAUUUGAAC